CUCACAGUGAACAGACACCAUACCUUUUCACAAAGCCAACAAUUGCCUAUAAAUUCAGGCAUGGCUUCCAUUCUAAGUACUCAGAAAUUUAGAAACUAAAAAAUUACUUUCCUUCUCUGUGCAAGUUCAUUAAUCCAAAAAGUCUUGAGCUUUCUUGUUCCUUGAAAAUUAAAAGAAUGGCAAAUGAGGACCAAACUAAUGCUAAUGGAAUGUGUGCUACUAUUACGAGUGUUGCUGCCUCGUCGAGCCUUUCAACUCCUGCUCAUGCUAUGACACCAGCAGAAAAACCAAGAAAGUUUUCCGAUAUUGACUUCAAACGUUGGCAAAUGAAGAUGCUCUUCUAUCUUACUACGUUGAGUUUGCAGCGAUUCAUCAAGGAGGAUCCUCCGGUCGUGGCUGAAGGCACUCCGGAUGACGAACGAUUUGUUGUAACUGAAGCAUGAAAACAUUCUGAUUUCUUGUACAAAAACUACAUUUUGAGUUGUUUGAAAGAUAACUUGUAUAAUGUCUAUAGUGUCAUGGAAACUUCAAAAGCGUUAUGGAAUGCGCUUGAGAAGAAGUACAAGACUGAGGAUGCUAGACUUAAGAAGUUCGUGGCUGCAAGAUUUUUGGAUUUCAAGAUGGUUGACACUAGGUCGGUCAUAACUCAAGUUUAAGAAUAACAAGUCAUUGUGCAUGACCUCCUUGCUUAAGGUAUGGUCAUAAAUGAGGCCUUUCAAGUCGCCGCUUUCAUUGAGAAGUUACCUCCGUUGUGGAGGGACUUUAAGAACUAUCUAAAACACAAGCGUAAGGAAAUGACACUUGAAGAUUUGAUUGUUCGUUUGAGGAUAGAAGAAGACAACAAAAAUGCUGAAAAGAAGUUACGUGGAAACUCGACAAUAAUAAGGGCUAACAUUGUUGAGGAGGAGCCACAAAAUAAGAAGAGAAAGAAUGCUUCUGGACCAAAGAAUUACCCAA